rnacentral:pre_miRNA from 1 species
AAAAAGACAAACCCUGGUUUUCGUGUCCAAUGUUUGACCGUUCGUCUUAUUUAAAAAAGUUAUAAAAAAAAUUAAAAAGAGAAGUCACGCAUAAAAUAUUAAUCAUGUUUUAUCAUCUAACAAGAAUGAAAAUACGAAUUAUAAAAAAAUUUCAUAUAAGACAGACAGUCAAAGUUGGACACGAAAACCCAUGGUUUGCUUUUUU